rnacentral:piRNA from 1 species
UGCUGUUUCAACCAAUGAAAU